CUCACUGUCUCUCUCUCUUCUCUUUCCUAUCUCAGACUGAGUUCUCUCUCACACUCUCAUCCAUCUCAGAUCAGAUCGGUGUGCUGCUGCUCGUCUCUUUCUGUCGAUCAUCCAUCGCAGAUUAGAUCGAUUGUUCAUGUCAUCUACAAUGGAUUCGGUAAAUGAACCGUAGAUAACGGAUUGGUCCUGAUUUUCUCCCAAUCCGGACCAAUCCGGUCCAUGCUCACCCCUAUGCACACAUACCACACUAAAACACUUUUCCACCCACCAUGUCUUCAAAUACCUAUGAAUUUGAUUACUCCAUGUUAUUUUUUCUCUAAAAGAUAUGCAUCGAUAAUUGUUUCUAAAAGUUAUAUAUUUAUAAAAUUAGGUUUUAAUAUUUAGUGUGUAUUGAUAUCCAUUAUGGUAAUUUUGUUUCAUAGAGUCAAAUUGUAAGAAAAAUUUAUUUCAUUAAUGAUUAUUUUAGUAAUUAAAAAAAAAAAAACCAACUUAUUGACUUAUUAAAGUCACAUCACCCUUUACUCUUUUUUUUUGUUAAAUAUUUUUUCAAAAAACACUAAUAAAUUGAUUUUUUUGCCUAAUUGCCAAAAUAGACAUAAGUUUAUACACAGAGACCUCCUUCCAAUUUGGUCUAUAAACUAUAAACCAGAUACAAUGUCAUACUCUAAUGUUUUAUAUAUAUAUAUAUAUUUUGUCUUUCCUUUUCCAAAUUCUUGACAUACCAAAAUUUCCUUAAUAUGCAAUCCUGACAUAUCAGAAUUUCCCUAUAUUCCCUAAAUAAAAGAGCUCUAAUUAAAAAAAAUAAAAAUAAAAUAAAUACAAACAAGGUUAUCACAGUGCAGCCCACCCAAUUAGAGCUUUUAGGUUACGUAUCGAUUGUCUAUUUUCUGUUUCUGUUUUUGUUUUUCUUUCUCUUGUUCUUCUUCUCCUCCUCUUGUCCCCCUUCCCGGCGGCCGUAACUCUGAAAAGGCAUCUCUCCAUCUCAGCCUCUGCAACGUUUGUUCUUGCUCUGCGCAAACCAGGUACUUUGCGGUCGAUAACAAUGGUAUUCAAAAAGAGGUGUUGAGGUUGUUAAAGCUCACUCUGUGGGGAAGCUUAGGAGGGAGGCGAAGAUGCUGCAUCCUAUAGGGAGACAUUGAUGACGAGAACAACAGGCUCAGGAAGUCCACCAGCAUCGUCUUCACCACCAUUGCGUCGAUCACGUUCAAGAUUCCAAAUUCAUCAUCAUCAUUGCAACGGCAACGGUCAUGGUCUCCACGAUCUGCAUCAUCAUCACCAUCGGGCGGUCGACGAUUAUGGUCUCGGUCAUGGUCCCCAGUAGCCUCCUCAUGGUCUCAAUUAUGGCAGUUUGUUCGAUUAUCUCUGAUUAGCUCGUGAAAUACAUCUCAUAUAAAGAGCAGUUUUUCCGAUUCCUCACGUUUGGUAUAUCUCCCUUCCUCUUUCACUCUACCAAUAGUUUUUGGAUAAAAUUGCUAUGGGUAUAUGUUAUUGUGAAGAUCUCAACUGUUAAAUUAUUUUAUUUUUUUUUAGGUGGGGAAUUUGUUUAGAUUAAAUGAAAUAAAUCUGUUAGGAAAUUUGUUUGGAUUGAAUUGAAUUUUUGUUAGUAAAUAUUGUAGUUCAAUUAAAUCUAUUAAUAUAUAUUGUAUUAUAUUCUGUUUUAGAUUAUUUUAAAAAAUUCUACAUAAAAUUAUAAUUUAUUAUUAUACUAAGUUUAGUUUGAUGAAAUUUUUAUUACAAUUUUUAAUGUUUUUUUAUAACCUUAUCAGUUUAAUUUGAAAAUGUCAAAAUCAAGAUCCAAACAAAAGGUGGUUGAAAGUUCAAAGGCUGAAUUUCAUUCCAAGGAAGUUGAUUCAAAUGGAAAAGGAAAAAGCAUGAGAUUAUAUUGUAGUCAUCAAAAUAUAAUCAAGCCAAUUGGUUUUGAAGUUGUUAGAGGGGUUAAUGUUAAUAAUAGAUAUCAUGAUAUUAUUAGUGAACCACCCACCGAUUAUAUGAUCAAUAUAUAUAAUUUUGAAAGGAAAUAUACCCUUACCCCGGCUGGAUUUGAUUACACUUUAAAAGAGUGAAUGGAGAAUGAAGAAAGAGAGGUUUAUAAUCACGCAUAUGAGCACUGGAAUGUUAAGCGAUCUAGUGAAUGGGUGAGGAAGCUUAUUUGUGCGAUGAUCAAAGUUGUGUUUGUUUUUCUUGAAAAACAACAUUUUCAUGGUUGUUUGCACCACCCAAAAAAUUAUGGUAUUUGUAUGGUUUAUAAUUUUGAAGGAGGCCAUCAUGAAGAAAUUAUAGAAGUGAUUCUUUUAUAUACAAAUACAGACAUAUGUUAGCUUCCUGAACCAACAAGAGCUGAAUUGGGGGUAGAAAAUGAUAUGAUAUUUGACAAUAUUUUGGUUGGACAAAACUGUUGCAAUUAUCCUGAAGAUUUAAAAGACUUGUUUUUGUUGAUGGCAAAUGCUAGUUCAAUACCUAAAAAUAGGUGGAUUAUAGAAACUCAUCCUUACUUGUGGCUUUGGACUGUUAGAUGUUACUACUACGAGAAGGUCUAACAACAGAGAUGCCAAACCUUCUCGUAACAUCUAACAGUCUAGUGCCACAAAUAACGAUGAGUUUCUAUAAUCCACCUAUUUUUAAGUAUUGAACAAGAAUUUGCCAUCAACAAAAAUAAGUCUUUUAAAUCUUCAGGAUAAUUGCGGCAGUUUUGUCCAACCAAAAUGUUGUCAAAUAUUAUAUGGGACAAUCCGAUCAUAUCAUUUUCUACCCCCAUUUCAGCCCUUGUUGGUUCAGGAAACUGUCCUAGGUUUGUAUUUGUAUACAAAAGAAUCACUUCUAAAAUUUCUUCAUGAUGGUCUUCAUCGAAAUUUUUAACCAUUCGAAUACCAUAAUUUUUUAGGUGGUGUAAACAACCAUGAAAAUGCUCUUUUUCCUGAAGAGCAAACACAACUUUGAUCCUCGCACAAAUAAGCUUCCUCACCAACUCACUAGAUCGCUUAACAUUCCAAUGCUCGUAUGCAUGAUCAUAAACUUCUGUGUAUUCAUUCUCCAUCCACUCUUUUCAAGU